UUUCAUUCAUUCCUCCCAAAUCCCUCUCCACUCCUCCAAGGUAACCUCUCCCUCUCUCUAUUUUUUUUUAAAAAGAAUUGUUUAGUUUUAGGUGGUUUGUAUAGGUAAUUAGUUUAAGUGGUUAGUAUAGAUAAUUAGUUUAAGUGGUUAAUAUAGGUAAUUAGUUAGGUAUCAGAAUAAUAUUUUUAAAUUAUAUCGUUAUUGAUAAAACUAACUGUAAUUUAAAAAAAAACUUUAGAUGGGUGAUAUGUUGUGUUUUUGGCACAUUUUAACAUUGUUUUCUAAUUGGUUUUCAAGUCUUUAUCGAGUCUUUCUAGUCCUUUUCGAGUCAUUACAGGUCUGGAGUAGGCUAAAGAGUUGAAGGAAGGUGCAUGAAGAAAGAUGUAAGAAUUGGAGUCCUUCCUGCGGAGCAAUCAUGUGGAGCAGUCAGACGGGUUAUCCCGUAGGAGCAAUCACGCGGAGCAACCAGGCAGACUGCUCCCAAAAAUUAUGGAAAGUUCUGAUUAAUUCGGGAUUUGCCCUAGCUUUUCUAUUUUCUUCUCCCAGCCGCCUGUGGCAUACAAAAACACUUUUUUCUGCUUUACUUUGACAUUCUACGCUAGUUUAUAGAGAGAAACCAGACCCGAAAACUCCAUUGUUGGAUUUGUUUAUUGUAAAGGGAGAAGGAUCUCUACACUCUUGAGAAGAAUCUUGAACCCUAUCUCUUUUAUUUUAUUGAUUCAGC
rnacentral:lncRNA from 1 species